rnacentral:rRNA from 1 species
GUGAGGAAUAUUGGUCAAUGGGCGAGAGCCUGAACCAGCCAAGUCGCGUGAAGGAAGACGGCCCUACGGGUUGUAAACUUCUUUUGCAAUGGAAUAAAAAGAGUUACGUGUAAUUCAUUGUAUGUACAUUGCGAAUAAGGAUCGGCUAACUCCGUGCCAGCAGCCGCGGUAAUACGGAGGAUCCGAGCGUUAUCCGGAUUUAUUGGGUUUAAAGGGUGCGUAGGCGGAUUGGAAAGUCAGCGGUGAAAGUUUGCAGCUUAACUGUAAAAUUGCCAUUGAAACUGUCAGUCUUGAGUGCAAAUGAGGUAGGCGGAAUGUGUUGUGUAGCGGUGAAAUGCAUAGAUAUAACACAGAACACCAAUUGCGAAGGCAGCUUACUGGGAUGCAACUGACGCUGAGGCACGAAAGCGUGGGGAUCAAACAGGAUUAGAUACCCCUGUAGUCC